rnacentral:rRNA from 1 species
UACAGAGGUCCCAAGCGUUGUUCGGAUUCACUGGGCGUAAAGGGUGCGUAGGCGGUCGGGUAAGUCUGAUGUGAAAUCUCACAGCUUAACUGUGAAACUGCAUUGGAUACUAUUCGGCUUGAGAGUUGGAGGGGGGACUGGAAUUCUUGGUGUAGCAGUGAAAUGCGUAGAUAUCAAGAGGAACACCAGUGGCGAAGGCGAGUCCCUGGACGAUACCUGACGCUGAGGAGCGAAAGUGUGGGGAGCGAACAGG